CACAGCAGCAAGCGUUCCAGAAACUGAAAGGGCUGCUCAGCUCAAACGCCUGCAUGGCCCGGUACGACCCUACCUACCCCACGACUGUGUCCGCCGACGCCAGCUCCUACGGCCUCGGAGCAGUUCUCCUGCAGCAGCAACCUUCCGGAGAGCAUCGUGCAGUGGCAUUUGCAAGUCGUUCACUAACUCCGACGGAGUCCAGAUACAGCCAGACCGAAAAGGAGGCACUCGCCGUGGCAUGGGCAAUUGAACGAUUCGAACAGUUCGUGCGGGGUAUCCAGU